CUUUGACAAGUGGUAUUUAAAUGUUUAAUGGCUGAUUCGAAUAAAAUUAAAAAUAAAAAUUAAUUAAAUCGAAAAAUCAAUAAAGAACGUGUUAUAAAAACAGAAAUAAUUUGUUAAACAUUGUCGUAGGUUAAUUAUUCGGUAAUUUUGAUGGAUUCUGUUGGACAAAAAAAAAACAUUUUAAACUGAAUUUGAUUACAUUUAAAUAAAAAG